CGCGCCGUAGCUAACGCAUUAAGUGCCCCGCCUGGGGAGUACGGCCGCAAGGCUAAAACUCAAAGGAAUUGACGGGGGCCCGCACAAGCGGCGGAGCAUGCGGAUUAAUUCGAUGCAACGCGAAGAACCUUACCAAGGCUUGACAUGUGCCAGACCGCUCCAGAGAUGGGGUUUCCCUUCGGGGCUGGUUCACAGGUGGUGCAUGGUUGUCGUCAGCUCGUGUCGUGAGAUGUUGGGUUAAGUCCCGCAACGAGCGCAACCCUCGUUCCAUGUUGCCAGCACGUAGUGGUGGGGACUCAUGGGAGACUGCCGGGGUCAACUCGGAGGAAGGUGGGGAUGACGUCAAAUCAUCAUGCCCCUUAUGUCUUGGGCUUCACGCAUGCUACAAUGGCCGGUACAAUGGGUUGCGAUACUGUGAGGUGGAGCUAAUCCCUAAAAGCCGGUCUCAGUUCGGAUUGGGGUCUGCAACUCGACCCCAUGAAGUCGGAGUCGCUAGUAAUCGCAGAUCAGCAA
rnacentral:rRNA from 1 species